rnacentral:rRNA from 1 species
AGAGUUUGAUUCUGGCUCAGAAUCAACGCUGGCGGCGUGCCUAACACAUGCAAGUCGAACGAGAAAGUGGAGCAAUCCAUGAGUACAGUGGCGAACGGGUGAGUAACACGUGACUAACCUGCCUUCGAGUGGGGGAUAACCUCGGGAAACCGGGGCUAAUACCGAUAAGAUCCUGACGGGGCAACAUGGGCAAAGGAGCUAUUCGCUCUGAGAGGGGGUCGCGGCUGAUUAGCUAGUUGGCAGGGUAACGGCCUACCAAGGCGACGAUCAGUAGCCGGCCUGAGAGGGCGCACGGACACACUGGAACUGAAACACGGUCCAGACUCCUACGGGAGGCAGCAGUGGGGAAUUUUGCACAAUGGGGGAAACCCUGAUGCAGCAACGCCGCGUGGAGGAUGAAGUCCCUUGGGAUGUAAACUCCUUUCGAUCGGGACGAUUAUGACGGUACCGGAAGAAGAAGCACCGGCUAACUCUGUGCCAGCAGCCGCGGUAAUACAGAGGGUGCAAAGCGUUGUUCGGAAUUAUUGGGCGUAAAGGGCGCGCAGGCGGCUGCUCAAGUCAGGGCGUGAAAAGGCCUGGGCUCAACCCGGGAAUUGCGCUUGAGACUGGGCUGGCUUGAGAGCGGGAGAGGAUGGUGGAAUUCCCAGUGUAGAGGUGAAAUUCGUAGAUAUUGGGAAGAACACCGGUGGGCGAAGGCGGCCAUCUGGACCGCAACUGACGCUGAGGCGCGAAAGCGUGGGGAGCAAACAGGAUUAGAUACCCUGGUAGUCCCACGCCGUAAACGAUGAGUGCUAGACGUUGGGAGGCCUAGCCUUCCGGUGUCGCAGCUAACGCAUUAAGCACUUCCGCCUGGGGAGUACGGCCGCAAGGUUAAAACUCAAAGGAAUUGACGGGGGCCCGCACAAGCGGUGGGAGCAUGUGGUUCAAUUCGACGCAAACGCGAAGAACCUUACCCAGGCUCGAACGGUGAGUGACAUCCUAUGAAAGUAGGCUUCCGCAAGGACAGUCACCGAGGUGCUGCAUGGCUGUCGUCAGCUCGUGUCGUGAGAUGUUGGGUUAAGUCCCGCAACGAGCGCAACCCUUGUCCGCUGUUGCCAUCACGUUAUGGUGGGCACUCUGCGGAGACUGCCGGUGAUAAAACCGGAGGAAGGUGGGGAUGACGUCAAGUCAGCAUGGGCCUUUAUGUCUGGGGCUACACACGUGCUACAAUGGCAGAUACAAACCGUCGCGAUACCGCAAGGUGGAGCUAAUCGGAGAAAGUCUGUCUCAGUUCGGAUUGCAGGCUGCAACUCGCCUGCAUGAAGUUGGAAUCGCUAGUAAUCGCGGAUCAGCACGCCGCGGUGAAUACGUUCCCGGGCCUUGUACACACCGCCCGUCACAUCACGAAAGCUGGCUGUACUAGAAGUCGCUGCGCUAACCCGCAAGGGAGGCAGGCGCCUAAGGUAUGGUCGGUGAUUGGGGUGAAGUCGUAACAAGGUAACC